CUCCCUAUAACUGGGGCCCAUCCUGACUGCCACUUCCCUGCACAGAGUGUGGCGCCGAGUGCAGGCAGAAGCGUGACUGCUGGCUGGUACGGGGGUUCUGGUUUUAAUGUCUGAGGAACUUCCGUAACGUUUUCCACGAGGAUAUACCAGCUUACAUUCCCAACAGUGUGUAAAGUGUUUCUUUCUCUCAACCUCCUCGCCAGCGUGUUGCCUUUUGGUUUUUGGAGAACAGACAGACUAACAGGACAAAUAAAAUGUGGGAAUCCUUGUCCAGUAUUGGUUCUAUAAGAAGACAGCUGAUGUCACCACGCCCACAGCCUUCUUUCUGCUCCAGGACACUCUUGACGUCCUCUCCAUGUUUUUUCACAAAGAUGCCCUGAGAACCACAAGUCAGGCUGCUCUGAAAAUCACAUAUCUUACACAGAUGGGAAUUGGGUCCCUGGUCAAUGUCAUCCUUUUCUU
ensembl:lncRNA